UGGGGAAUAUUGCACAAUGGGCGGAAGCCUGAUGCAGCAACGCCGCGUGCGGGAUGACGGCCUUCGGGUUGUAAACCGCUUUCGCCUGUGACGAAGCGUGAGUGACGGUAAUGGGUAAAGAAGCACCGGCUAACUACGUGCCAGCAGCCGCGGUGAUACGUAGGGUGCGAGCGUUGUCCGGAUUUAUUGGGCGUAAAGGGCUCGUAGGUGGUUGAUCGCGUCGGAAGUGUAAUCUUGGGGCUUAACCCUGAGCGUGCUUUCGAUACGGGUGGACUUGAGGAAGGUAGGGGAGAAUGGAAUUCCUGGUGGAGCGGUGGAAUGCGCAGAUAUCAGGAGGAACACCAGUGGCGAAGGCGGUUCUCUGGGCCUUUCCUGACGCUGAGGAGCGAAAGCGUGGGGAGCGAACA
rnacentral:rRNA from 1 species